UACGUAGGGUGCAGGCGUUAAUCGGAAUUACUGGGCGUAAAGCGUGCGCAGGCGGUUUGCUAAGACAGGUGUGAAAUCCCCGGGCUUAACCUGGGAACUGCGCUUGUAACUGGCAAGCUUGAGUGUGGGAGAGGGAAGUGGAAUUUCAGGUGUAGCGGUGAAAUGCGUAGAUAUCUGAAGGAACAUCAGUGGCGAAAGCGACUUCCUGGACCAAUACUGACGCUCAUGUGCGAAAGCGUGGGGAGCAAACAGG
rnacentral:rRNA from 1 species